rnacentral:rRNA from 1 species
AGUUUGAUCAUGGCUCAGAUUGAACGCUGGCGGAAUGCUUUACACAUGCAAGUCGAACGGUAGAGGGGGCAACCCUUGAGAGUGGCGAACGGGUGAGUAAUAUAUCGGAACGUGCCCAGUCGUGGGGGAUAACGUAGCGAAAGUUACGCUAAUACCGCAUACGAUCUAAGGAUGAAAGCGGGGGAUCGCAAGACCCCGCGCGAUUGGAGCGGCCGAUAUCAGAUUAGGUAGUUGGUGAGGUAAAGGCUCACCAAGCCGACGAUCUGUAGCUGGUCUGAGAGGACGACCAGCCACACUGGGACUGAGACACGGCCCAGACUCCUACGGGAGGCAGCAGUGGGGAAUUUUGGACAAUGGGCGCAAGCCUGAUCCAGCAAUGCCGCGUGCAGGAUGAAGGCCUUCGGGUUGUAAACUGCUUUUGUACGGAACGAAACGGUGAGCUCUAAUACAGUUUGCUAAUGACGGUACCGUAAGAAUAAGCACCGGCUAACUACGUG